rnacentral:rRNA from 1 species
GAUGAACGCUGGCGGCGUGCCUAAUACAUGCAAGUCGAGCGAACAGACGAGGAGCUUGCUCCUCUGACGUUAGCGGCGGACGGGUGAGUAACACGUGGAUAACCUACCUAUAAGACUGGGAUAACUUCGGGAAACCGGAGCUAAUACCGGAUAAUAUAUUGAACCGCAUGGUUCAAUAGUGAAAGACGGUUUUGCUGUCACUUAUAGAUGGAUCCGCGCCGCAUUAGCUAGUUGGCAAGGUAACGGCUUACCAAGGCAACGAUGCGUAGCCGACCUGAGAGGGUGAUCGGCCACACUGGAACUGAGACACGGUCCAGACUCCUACGGGAGGCAGCAGUAGGGAAUCUUCCGCAAUGGGCGAAAGCUUGACGGAGCAACGCCGCGUGAGUGAUGAAGGUCUUCGGAUCGUAAAACUCUGUCAUUAGGGAAGAACAAAUGUGUAAGUAACUAUGCACGUCUUGACGGUACCUAAUCAGAAAGCCACGGCUAACUACGUG